rnacentral:rRNA from 1 species
AUUGAACGCUGGCGGCAUGCCUUACACAUGCAAGUCGAACGGCAGCACGGGUGCUUGCACCUGGUGGCGAGUGGCGAACGGGUGAGUAAUACAUCGGCACAUGUCCUGUAGUGGGGGAUAGCCCGGCGAAAGCCGGAUUAAUACCGCAUACGAUCUACGGAUGAAAGCGGGGGACCUUCGGGCCUCGCGCUAUAGGGUUGGCCGAUGGCUGAUUAGCUAGUUGGUGGGGUAAAGGCCUACCAAGGCGACGAUCAGUAGCUGGUCUGAGAGGACGACCAGCCACACUGGGACUGAGACACGGCCCAGACUCCUACGGGAGGCAGCAGUGGGGAAUGUUGGACAAUGGGCGAAAGCCUGAUCCAGCAAUGCCGCGUGUGUGAAGAAGGCCUUCGGGUUGUAAAGCACUUUUGUCCGGAAAGAAAACCUGGGCCCUAAUACGGUCGGGGGAUGACGGUACCGGAAGAAUAAGCACCGGCUAACUACGUG